GUCAAAUGGAAAACUGCAUUACUACUUAAAAAACAGGGAGGUUUGGCUAUUAGAAGCCUGAGAAAGCAGAACAAAAGUCUUCUUAUGAAAUGAUGGUGGAGGCUCCCGAAAGAAGAAAUACUCUUUUUGGGGGUAAUGGUGAUUCAAGCCAAAUAUGGAAAUGAAGGACCCUGGAAGGCAAAAGAAGUAAGAUCUACAUAUGUAGUCAGCCCGUGGAGAUCAAUCAGAAACUUAUGUCAUGGUUUCUAUGGAAAAUCCAGAUUCAAUGUGAAUAAUGCUGGAAGAUCAUUUUCUGGGAAGAUGUCUGGUUGGGCAAUGGAAGACUCAAGCACCCAUUCCCAGAUAUUUAUCAGUUGAACUAGCAGCAAAAGUCCCCAUUACAAGAAGUAUGGUCUGAUCAUGGUUGGAAUCUAACUUACAGGAGACUAAUGCAAGACUGGGAAAUGGAAAGUUUGGCUGAAUUCUAUGGGAUUUUAGAUCAGUUUAUUGGUCUGAAGGAUGGAGAAGACUCUUUAAGAUGGAAAUGUCAUAGUAAAGGCUGUUUCACUGUCAGUUUUGAUUAUGAAGACAUGAAUCAGUUGGGAACUCAAGUUAGUUUUCUCCCUUGGAAGCUUAUAUAGAAGGUGAAAUCCCUUUUAAAGUGUCAGUCUUCACCUGGUCGGCAGUAAAAGAGGCUGAUCUUACCCAGGAAAAUCUCAUGAAAAGGGGAAUACAUAUGUGUCCAAGAUGUUUCGUCUGUGAGUAGCAUGCAAAGGCAAUCAACAAUUUGUUUCUACAUUGUAAAGUGGUUGGCCAACUAUGGAAUUUGUUUACUAACUUUAGGGGUAUUAGAUGGGCUAUGCUAGAAAGGGCAGGAUAAGCUCUAGUAAGCUGGUGGAAUAUGGAGCGCAGUGGUAGCACAAACAAGAACAGAUGGAGAAUUGUCCUAGCAGUAAUAUGGUGGACCAUAUGGAAGGAAAGGAAUUCUAGAUGUUAUGAGAGCAAGAAUAGUCCAUUGCACAAGAUUAAACGAACUGCAUUGUGACUUUUUGCUAUUGGUGUAGUUUUGAGUACAUAGAUGAUCUAGGGGCGAUAAACAUAUUAGGAUACUUGUAAGAUGAAAUUGGAUCCAGUGAUAUUUUUUUUCUUUUUUGUUUUAGGUCCUACACAUGUGGAUGUAGGUUGUGAUGUAAGUUUUUGGAAUCCAGCUUUGAUGCUGAAGAUUACAACAACAACAACAACAAACCCAGUUUAUUCCCACAUCGUGGGGUCUGGGGAGGGUAGAGUGUAUGCAGUCCAUACCACUACCUCUAAAGAAGUAGAGAGGCUGUUUCCAAUAGACCCCCGGCUUAAGAUAAAGGACAAUAUAUAUAUAUAUAUAUAUAUAGACAAAGUCCCCAGGAGGUGCUUUGGAGAUGCUUGAAGGUAAGUGGAGUUCCGGUGGUAUAUAUCAGAGCAAUUAAGGACAUGUAUGAUGGAGCUAAAACUCAAGUGAGGACGGUGGGAGGAGACUCAGAGCAUUUCACUGUCAUGAUAGGAUUGCAUCAGGGAUCUACUCUUAGUCCCUUUUUGUUUGCUUUGGUGAUGGAUGUGUUGACGCGUUGUAUUCAAGGAGAGGUGCCUUGGUGUAUGCUUUUUGCAGAUGAUGUAGUUUUGAUUGAUGAGACGCGGGGUGUGUGAAUGAUAAAUUAGAGGUGUGGAGAUAAACUCUUGAGUUUAAAGGGUUCAGGUUGAGUAGGAGCAAGACAGAGUAUUUGGAAUGCAAGUGUAAUGACGUGAGGCUGAAGAAUGAGGUGCUAGUGAAGUUGGAAUCACAGGUGGUAUGUAAGAGGGAUAGUUUCAAGUAUGUCGGGUCCGUGAUUGAGGGUAAUGGUAAGAUUGACGAGGAUGUCUCGCACCGUAUUGGGGCGGGAUGGAUGAAGUGGAAGCUCGCUUCGGAGGUGUUGUGUGAUAAGAAGGUGCCGCCCAAGCUUAAAGGCAAAUUCUACAGGGUGGCAUUCCGUCCGGCCAUGUUGUAUGGAGCAAAGUGUUGGCCAGUUAAGAAAUCCCACAUUCAAAAAAUGAAGGUGGUAGAAAUACGGAUGCUACGUUGGAUGUGUGGGCUGACUAGGGUGGAUAGAGUUCGGAAUGAGACUAUCAGGGAGAAGGUUGGUGUGACUCCAGUGGAGAAUAAGAUGCGGGAAGUCCGAUUGAGAUGGUUCAGACAUAGGCGGGACAUGGAGCAAUUACAGUUCAUUGAGGACACGACCCUAGAUAGGAAGAUUUGGAGGACGCGAAUUAGGGCAGAAGGCUAGGGUCAAUUUGGGUCGCUAGUGUAUGGAAUUACUUGGUGGGGGUAUUAUUCUUGUUAUGAUACCGUGUUUCAUGCUUUAUUACGAAUCUGUUUACUUUUCUCUGUUUUCUAUUACUUGUGGGUGUCGUAUUUAUGUUAUGCCAUCUUGUUCCAUGCUUUACUAUGUAUUUGUGUAGUAUUUCGUGUCUCGAGCCGGGGGUCUAUCGAAAACAACCUUUCUACUUCUUUAGAGGUAGAGGUAUGGAUUGCGUACAUCUUACCCUUCCCAGACCUCACUAUGUGGGAAUACACUNNNNNNNNNNNNNNNNNNNNNNNNNNNNNNNNNNNNNNNNNNAUAUAUAUAUAUAUAUAUAUAUAUAUAUAUAGACACUUAGAUAAAAGCUGUUUCAAUAAAUAAAAAUAGACGAUAAAAAUAGAUUUGGUUGGUUAAUGCAAAUAUGUAGUAAAAUCCUACUCAGUACUCCCUCUCUCCUGUAGUUUCUUCAUUAAAUAAGUUCUUUUUAGCCUCUAUUUUUCCCAUUUUUACCUUUUUUUUUUAACUUACCUUGUUCAUCUCUCUC
rnacentral:lncRNA from 1 species